rnacentral:rRNA from 1 species
GACGGAGGAUGCAAGCGUUAUCCGGAAUGAUUGGGCGUAAAGCGUCCGCAGGUGGCAGUUCAAGUCUGCUGUCAAAGACCGGGGCUUAACUUCGGAAAGGCAGUGGAAACUGAACAGCUAGAGUAUGGUAGGGGCAGAGGGAAUUCCUGGUGUAGCGGUGAAAUGCGCAGAUAUCAGGAGGAACACCGAUGGCGAAGGCAGCUCGCUGGGACGGUACUGACGCUGAGACGCGAAAGCGUGGGGAGCAAACAGG